rnacentral:misc_RNA from 1 species
UAUGUUCCUGCCACAGUUUGGCCUGGCUGCCACCCAGUCGAGUUUUCUAUCUCACCACCUGUGAUUGAGCCUAUAACUGACUCAAUUUCCUCUGCUAAGGAGAUAUCUGAUAAUCCUGAAAAUAUUACUUUGACAACAAGCUUACUAGUUGAUCUCAACACCGGGGAUGAAGUCAAGGAAGAUGUAAAUCUUCCAGCAUCAGAAACAGUGGAGAACAUAGCUGCAGUUGUACCAGAAAAAGAGAGAGCAAGCAACACUCCAG